UACACAGAUGGGAUUCUGGGGCCCAGA
rnacentral:piRNA from 1 species